AAUUGAAGUUAUACAAUUUAAUAAUCAGGAGAAAGAAAGGAACCUUUAAGUUUAGACUGUUUAGUAGUGUCUAUGGUCUACCUCUUGCCACGAUGCUUUGCAGACUAAAGAAGACUUGGGUUUAAGGAGAAGAUUCUUUCGUGAAGGUUUCAGGGCUAAAAUCUUCCUGAGCGAGCAUCCUCCACUCCAGCUCGAACAACAACUCCAUGAAAGCCAAUCCUCCGUUGCAUGCGCCUGAAAUUGAAUUAGAGCCAUGGCAGCAAUUUUCUUUUUUCACUUAUCUAAAUUAACGGCCUACAACAAGUAACGCCCCUCGUUUUCAGAUAGAAAUGAGAAAAGGAUUUUCUAACCCUUGUUUCCACCAAAAUUACAAAUUUAUACUCCACUCUCUCAUUUUAUAUGCAUUUGUCCUAACAAGUGAGAAAAAAGAAAAAUAAACUAAAACACAGUAUCUUUCCUCGUAUCCUCCUCCAAGCAAUUACCAUCACCAAUAUUUUAUCCAUUUCAUCUUUCCCACCACUAAUUCUUACCCUCCAUUAUUAUUCGGUAAUUAAUAAUAUAAAACAUAAUUAUAAUCAACUACACUACAGCUAAAGGAAAACUUAUAAAACAUACAUUUUUUUUUUCAUUUUAAUGUAGUAUUUAAUGAUUUUUAAAAAUUUUUAAAAAUAAUUUAAAAAACAAGUACUAUAAAGUCUAGAAAGUGACUACUAUCGAGUAAUCCAAUUUUUUGAUAUAAUUUUAUAAAGAGUGGGGUCUUUUACAAUCUAAAAAUUACUCUAAGCACCCAAAUCUUAAUAAAAAUAUGUGUUUGGGGGAUUAAUAAAGGAAUUAAAAUAGAGCGUCAUGUGUCGAUAAAUGGACUUUAAUGGCUGAGAGAUAACUUCGUGAGGUACCUGACCUGCACCGAGAAUACUCUCCAAAUAAACUGAGACGCGGGGUACGCCCUGAUAGAAUUAAAGAAAAUACCCAAAAAGCAGCUUUCUUGGUCUCCAACAUUCUGUUUUGGAGCAAUUCUCCGAGAGGGCUAUUUGCGAUGGCUUUCACAGCCGUGAAGGGUAUUGCCGAGAAUACUAACACUCCCGCAAGCUGAUGAAAAUUAAAGUGAACCAAAAUUCCAAAAUUGAAGUUAUACAAUUUAAUAAUCAGGAGAAAGAAAGGAACCUUUAAGUUUAGACUGUUUAGUAGUGUCUAUGGUCUACCUCUUGCCACGAUGCUUUGCAGACUAAAGAAGACUUGGGUUUAAGGAGAAGAUUCUUUCGUGAAGGUUUCAGGGCUAAAAUCUUCCUGAGCGAGCAUCCUCCACUCCAGCUCGAACAACAACUCCAUGAAAGCCAAUCCUCCGUUGCAUGCGCCUGAAAUUGAAUUAGAGCCAUGGCAGCAAUUUUCUUUUUUCACUUAUCUAAAUUAACGGCCUACAACAAGUAACGCCCCUCGUUUUCAGAUAGAAAUGAGAAAAGGAUUUUCUAACCCUUGUUUCCACCAAAAUUACAAAUUUAUACUCCACUCUCUCAUUUUAUAUGCAUUUGUCCUAACAAGUGAGAAAAAAGAAAAAUAAACUAAAACACAGUAUCUUUCCUCGUAUCCUCCUCCAAGCAAUUACCAUCACCAAUAUUUUAUCCAUUUCAUCUUUCCCACCACUAAUUCUUACCCUCCA
rnacentral:lncRNA from 1 species